rnacentral:rRNA from 1 species
GACGAACGCUGGCGGCGUGCUUAACACAUGCAAGUCGAGCGGUAAGGCCCUUUCGGGGGUACACGAGCGGCGAACGGGUGAGUAACACGUGGGUGACCUGCCCUCAGCUCUGGGAUAAGCCUGGGAAACUGGGUCUAAUACUGGAUAUGACUCCACGGUGCAUGUCGUGGGGUGGAAAGCCUUGUGCGGCUGAGGAUGGGCCCGCGGCCUAUCAGCUUGUUGGUGGGGUGANGGCCUACCAAGGCGACGACGGGUAGCCGGCCUGAGAGGGCGACCGGCCACACUGGGACUGAGACACGGCCCAGACUCCUACGGGAGGCAGCAGUGGGGAAUCUUGCGCAAUGGGCGAAAGCCUGACGCAGCGACGCCGCGU